CAACUUUCAACAAUGGAUCUCUUGGCUCUGGCAUCGAUGAAGAACGCAGCGAAAUGCGAUAAGUAGUGUGAAUUGCAGAAUUCAGUGAAUCAUCGAAUCUUUGAACGCACAUUGCGCCCCUUGGUAUUCCAUGGGGCAUGCCUGUUCGAGCGUCAU
rnacentral:rRNA from 1 species